ensembl:lncRNA
AUGUGUCUUUGCCAACAGGUUGGCCAGCCUGGUAAGAAGGACUUUAAAUUAGGAAAGAUGAGGGAAAGGGAAAGUUAUAGAGACAGGGCAGUCAGCAAAACGCAGCUCAGGUCAGGAUGCCUCCAGCGGGUGCAUGCAGCCAGGGAAGUGCACACGGGACAUGGCUAUGGAGGAUCCUCUUGCACCCCUCCUGGGAAACCUGCAUGCUCAAUCACCUCACUGAAAUGCCUGUACACCAAUGCACGCAGCAUGGGGAACAAACAGGAAGAACUAGAGAUGUGUGUGCGGUCGCAGGGCCAUGAUCUCAUUGCCAUUACAGAGACAUGGUGGGAUAGCUCGCAUGACUGGAGUGCUGUCAUGGAUGGCUACGUGCUUUUUAGGAAAGACAGGCCAGGAAGACGAGGUGGUGGAGUUGCUCUUUAUGUGAGAGAGCAACUGGAAUGUAUCGAGCUGUGCCUAGGGGUGGAGGAAGAGCGAGUCGAGAGCUUAUGGGCAAAGAUUAAAGGGCAGGCUAGCAUGGGUGACACUGUUAUGGGUGUUUACUACAGGCCACCUGAUCAGGAAGAGGAAGUCGAUGAGGCCUUCUACAGACAGCUGGAAGUAGCCUCCCGAUCCCAGGCCCUGGUUCUCAUGGGGGACUUCAACCACCCUGAUAUCUGCUGGAGAGACAACACAGCUAGGCACAAGCAGUCCUGGAGGUUCCUGCAGAGCAUUGGUGACAACUUCUUGACACAGGUGGUGGAGGAGCCAACAAGGAGAGGUGUGCUGCUGGACCUCGUACUAACAAACAAAGAAGGACUGGUGGAAGAUGUGAAGGUCAGGGGCAGCCUUAGCUGCAGUGACCAUGAGAUGGUGGAGUUCAGGAUCCUGCAAGAAGGAGGCAGGGCAAUAAGCAGGAUUGCAACCCUGGAGUUCAGGAGAGCAAACUUUGGCCUCUUCAGGGAUCUACUUGGAGGAAUCCCAUGGGUUAGGGCCCUAGAAGGAAGGGGCGUUGAAGAGAGCUGGUUAAUAUUCAAACAUCACUUCCUCCAGGCUCAGGAGCGGUGCAUCCCUACGAGUAAGAAGACAAGCAAGGGGGGCAGGAGAUGUGGAUGA